AUAUUACUCUGUUUGGAGUCUCUGAAAAACCUACAUUUGGAGGGUCAUGUAGCCCCAACACUUCGCCCUACCCCUCUAUCUCAACAAGAAUUGGGACACCCUACCCCUAGACGUGAAUGUGCAAAAAAGGAGGGCUAAGGGCUCAGUGGUAGGGGUGAAGUGUGAAAAGGGAUUGGGCCACAGACCAUAGACCACCAGACUGGAAGUGUUUAUCAGGUCCCCCUAAGACUUUUACCCCCAAAAACAGGUAACUCGAUUUCAGGCCCCCCACCUCCCCUUUAGUUAUCUGAGGACCCUUCGGUUGCUGUAAAAGAGGAAGCUGGAUGCGCUGCCUUUCCUAAAGCAACAGGGCCAGAGAGAACCACAGAUCAACAAAGAGAGGAGAAAAUCAAGCCGCUUCAGAUCUGAAAACAUCCACAGGAGUUUCUGUCCAGCCUUCCACUGUGAGAAGACCACUCAGUGCUGUGGGUCUGAAAGGACGUGUAGCUGAUCGAGAAGAACCUCACUGAGAAAGUCACUGAGAGUCAGACACACCAAACAAAGAAGCUGAACGAUGGACUGACCACCCCAGAGUCCAGACCUCAACACCACUGAAUGGGUUUGGGAAGACUUGGAUUUAUGAGAAGCAGAACGUUAGAACUGUGGAAAAAUAUCCGUGCAGGGAAGCUGUAACACUUACUGAACAGGGUCAUCGUUAGCAGUUAA
ensembl:lncRNA